rnacentral:rRNA from 1 species
GAUGAACGCUGGCUACAGGCUUAACACAUGCAAGUCGAGGGGAAACGCCGGGGAAGCUUGCUUCCCCGGGCGUCGACCGGCGCACGGGUGAGUAACGCGUAUCCAACCUGCCUCUGACUGAGGGAUAACCCGUCGAAAGUCGGCCUAAUACCUCAUGGCAUCGUCUGCGGGCAUCCAACGACGAUUAAAGAUUUCAUCGGUCAGAGAUGGGGAUGCGUCUGAUUAGCUUGUUGGCGGGGUAACGGCCCACCAAGGCGACGAUCAGUAGGGGUUCUGAGAGGAAGGUCCCCCACAUUGGAACUGAGACACGGUCCAAACUCCUACGGGAGGCAGCAGUGAGGAAUAUUGGUCAAUGGGCGAGAGCCUGAACCAGCCAAGUAGCGUGCAGGAGGACGGCCCUAUGGGUUGUAAACUGCUUUUAUGCGGGGAGAAAGUGAGGGACGUGUCCUUCAUUGCAGGUACCGCAUGAAUAAGAACCGGCUAAUUCCGUG